GAGUAUCCUAAUGACGAGGAAGAGUUGGAGGGAAUUGAUCUGCACCAGAAACGUUACCCUUGGGAGGGAAGUGGUAGGGAUUACUUAUACGACGAGCAAUGAUAAAUAGGAGAUUUGUUCAUCUGUCUAGGAGAAAUUCUCCAAUCCAAGCACACUAAGGUCCAACUACAACCAAGAAUAGUUUGGUCCAAAGCGGCCACAAUGAAGUGAUGGAAGACCUCAUUCGUACCAGAUUUCUUUUCUCAGCCCAGCUACACCCUGUGUUUAUG